UGGGGAAUAUUGGACAAUGGGCACAAGCCUGAUCCAGCCACGCCGCGUGAGUGAUGAAGGCCUUCGGGUCGUAAAGCUCUGUGGGGAGGGACGAACGACCGGUCGAAGAGACCGGAAUGACGGUACCUCCUUAGCAAGCACCGGCUAACUUCGUGCCAGCAGCCGCGGUAAUACGAAGGGUGCAAACGUUGCUCGGAAUCAUUGGGCGUAAAGCGCACGUAGGCGGCCCGAUAAGUCGGAUGUGAAAUCCCUCGGCUCAACCGAGGACGUGCAUUCGAAACUGUCGGGCUCGAGUAUGGAAGAGGGUCGCGGAAUUCCCGGUGUAGAGGUGAAAUUCGUAGAUAUAGGGAGGAACACCAGUGGCGAAGGCGGCGACCUGGGCCAAUACUGACGCUGAGGUGCGAAAGCGUGGGGAGCAAACAG
rnacentral:rRNA from 1 species